rnacentral:lncRNA from 1 species
GGGGGGGGGCGGGGGGUGCGCCCCCCCGGGGGCGGGGGCAAGCCCCCCCCCCCCCCCGUGAGGGGAGGUCACGUGGUGCGGGGGGCUGAGGGGAAGCCGCCCUGAGGCGAUUUAACGGCCGCUAAUUAGCUGUUAAUUAGCCGGUAAUUGCCUCACGCCGCGGCCCCCUCCGUGGCUUGGGGCUUUUUUUCCUGUCAGGUUUUGUUUUAUUAACCCCCUGCUGUGCUUAUAAUGCCCGAAGGGGGGUUAAUUCGGGCUGAUCCCAGUCCGUGCUGCCAGCGGCACCGAGCAGGUGCUCGCAGACGGCUGCGCUGCGCCUCCGUCGGUGCCUUUCGGCCCAAAUCCCCUUUGGUUUGCCCUCUUUGGGAUCUGUAGGGUGAGGGACGGGUGCUGGUGGGCGAUAAAGCCCUGCCGUGCCGCCCUGGGGGGGCUGUGGGGGAGCAGAGAGCCGGCCGUGAGGUGCUCGUGCUUCAGGUCCCUGGGGGCAGCCCUCAUCGCUGUGGGGACCGAGCUGCUGCUGGGAUCCUCCGAUCCCUUCUGAGCACACCCUGGGGGCCUGGGGGAUAAAACUGCUUCGCUACGAGGGUCCCCGGUACGUCUCAGACUGCUCUUCCCUUCCCUUCUCCUUCCCCGACACUGCUGCAGGGUGGGAGUGUCAAAACCACCUCUCCCCAAAAUAAUCUCAGCCUCGGAGGCUGGAAAAUGUGACAAAGUGGGCGGCAGAGAGCAGCUGGGGCUGCUUUCCCCACACACAGGAGAAGCCCACCUUGUCCUGCUUUGGGAAUUCCUCCUGAGCACACCAGGCGAAAACCAGGAUUUACAUCUAUUUCACAUUAAUCUCGCUUUAUUUUACCAGGCGAGCCCUGUUGGUGCGUACGUGCUCACAGCCCUCCUCUCCCCGGUGUUUGCGGCUGCUCUGAGUCAGCGCAGCCCCGUCCUGCCUCGCCUGCUCAGUGCCGUUCAGGGGAAGGUUUCAGAGGCUGUAAAGGACACCACGACGGUACCGGCUACCGCCCUGCUUCCCAUCUGUCGUUUUAGGAAGGGCAGCCAGGGCUUUGAUGUGGCCCAGCCAGCCAAGUGGCAUGCUCUCUGCGUGCCUUGCCCGCCGAAAUCCGGGGAAUGCUGCGGAGUGGAAAUCAGGAGUUCAUACGGGAAUGGUUUGGAGUUCCUCUGGUGGCCUGUAUCCUGGAGGGAUGAAGAUGGUGGGGUGAGCGGGGCAUUUCAUCUGACAUAUUAUCGUGGUAUGGAAGUCAGCCGGGACUUUCCUCCUUCUAACAAAAGUAACAGCAUGUCUACACCCCCAAAUACACGUGUUUUGGUAACAGUCAUGUGAAUAAAGGUCAUUCUUUUUUUUAAGCCUACCUUCUUUUCAUAUUUUUUGAACUAUUGACUAGUUUCAGCCACGUAAGACAGAUGCGGUGGAGCAAAACUCUGAGUAAAUUUAAUAUUGCAGGAACCACUACCAGUUGUAUGAUGCUAACAUGUGAUCCAACCCCCACUGCAUAUGUGUUAGCUCAUAUUCAAGCAAGCAAAUAGUUUCUGGAUAGGGAAAUGCAGGUCCAAAAUGGCAGGUAGUAAGUCCUCCAUACAGGAAAGACUAAACAGUGCCCAGUUUGACUCCCCGCACCCAAAACAACCCUCCAGUAUGUCUUGGCAGGCCUUGAGCUCUCCUAUCCCAGAGCUAUCUCUUGCCAAAUGCCUCUGGUCACAUACCACACCCUUGGCAUCACAGCACAAAACACAGCACUGGCAUGCUGCUAAGCAAUCAUCCCGCGAUUAGUAAUUGAUUUUUUUUUUUCCUUAAGACGUCACAGGAACUAAGGGCACCCUUUUGGGGCCCGAGAAGAUCAAGGCCUUCUGCCUCAUUUACACAGACGUCACUGGAGUCGUGGCUUUGCUGCUCGGGUAGCCCAGAUAGUCUCUUGGCAGCAUGGCAAGAAUUGAGCAAUAUUUUUUUUAUUAUUAUCAUUUUUCAUUCAUUAUCAUUUUAUUAUCAUCCAGUAUCUGAAGCUCGCCCCAGGGGGAUGUGCCUCGGCCCUGCGUCUUGCCGUUGGAGACGUGCACUUCGGUCUUACAGCUCAUGGUUGUCAUGAGGCAACCCUUGGCUCAGCUCCUCUGUCCUGCAGCUCGUCCUUGGAGGCACGCUGCACCUCGGUCCCACCAAGUGAUGGCAUCCGUGGUGAUUCCCAGCCUCCAAAGGGCAGUGGCAGUUCUCCUGUCUGUGCAGGAGGGUCCAAUAAUUGGCCAAACUUAUUGCGACGUGCCUUGACCUCCAGCAGGCCCAGUGCCGUGAUGACUGCCCUGUGGAGCCUGUCCCAGUGCCCGAGCACCCUCUGGGUGCAGACCCUUUCCCUACCCCCCAGCCUGACCCUCCCCUGUCCCAGCUCCAUGCCGUUCCCUCGGGUCCUGUCGCUGUCCCCAGAGAGCAGAGCUCAGCGCCUGCCCCUCCGCUCCCCUCGUGAGGGAGCUGCAGGCCGCCAUGAGGCCUCCCCUCAGCCUGCUCUGCUCGGGGCUCAGCAAACCAAGGCACCUCAGCCACCCCUCACAUAUCUGGACCCCUCAACCAGCUGAAAGUCCAAGGUCUCCUCUCUGCAAGGGGAAGAAGGGCCCGUGGGCGAGGUCAGUGCCUGGAGGGCAGCAGAUGUCUCUGCACGCAGCUCUUGCAAAACAGCGUCUGAGGAGCACGGCGGGCGCUGGGGAGCGUGCUGGCGUGGGAGGGCAGCGCAGCCCGGGCAGGAGGCCUCGCUCAGUUUAUUCCAUGGGGCAGCAGCCGACUGCCACUGUCUGUCAGGGGCAGCAGAGGCAGAGAGUUACUGGGGUUACUUUUCAGGGUACAGCUGGAAGACUGGGGUCACAGGCUUUGUGACCAAGCAGUUUUCAGAGCUGAUUCACAAGUGUAGCUUUUUUAAAAAAUAAAAAUAAAGAAGAGAAUAAGACUUGCUUACAACUAGGUCCAUUCUUCUGGGAGAGACUUGGCACUCAUUUCUCACUACUCUCAAAAAUACUUAGUUUUAUGAUUUCUUUCUUUCAUUUUCAACAUUUUCCAAGUAUUUUCCAGUCAAUGAGGCAACUUGGUGUGGGUUUUGUAGGUGAGCUGUGCUUUCACACCACUAUGACUGGCUGAAGGCUGGCUGACACGGUCCCUUCCAGCAGCCCGUUAAGCCUCGUCAUGGGUGCUGCUGCUGAAAAGCGGCUGCGGGUUCCGCAGUACUGGCAGCACAAAGGCAUUCUUGCAAAUUGCUCUUUCAUCUCACUUUGUUUAGGGACAGAAAACGCUGAUAUCUGGCAGACAGAAAGAGGGCGUGAUUCUGCAGCUGUUGAUUCCCAGGGUGGCGAAUUAUUUGGAGCAGGGACUGAAAGACAGCACGUGAAAGCUAGAUCCCUACCAGGAGAAAUCAUGUGUCCGGCUGCUGGGUUCAGGAGCCGCUCCUGAAGGCCGUGUUUGUUUAUUUGAUGGCACCAGUCAUUGUAAAAGAAACACUGAUGUUGCAAUGUUUAUGUGCAUGUGCGUGUUUGUUUUGCAGCUGGAACGGUUUUAAUCAUCACUCGGAAAACAGCAUCAUCCCACUCUGAGUGGUCGGGAUCACGUGCUUACCAGGAACCAGCUUCAGAUCCCUCCCAAAAAAUGGACAUUUCCUGCAUCGGUGGGAGCGUGGGUGGCACAGAAAGCAGCAAACAAGAGCCUGGGGUUCCUGUGACCCCCCUUAUUUGACAAAGCCUUUCACGGACACAUUUGCCACAUUUCUGUUCUGCUUAUGUUUUCUUAUAUCCAUUACAUGUACCUGGAUGCACAAGCGGUGGGUGCCCUCCUCAUGGGUCCUGCUCAUGAUCAGUGUUGCCUGACGCUGGUGCUGGGACACGAAUACAGACAGAAGUAGCACAGGUGGAACUCCUUUGGCUUCUUUCGUCCUCAGGAAGCUUUGACAUUAACCUCGAAUUCAAAGCAACCUCAGGAGACCAAAAGAUGCCUACGGCUAUAGGCUGUACCGUACAGCUCUCUGGAGCAGGUCACAUCUGUGAUAAUUCUCCAGAAAGCUCUGUCUGCUCUUCUGUCUCCUGGAGAACACUUGG